UACGUAGGCAGCAAGCGUUGUUCGGAGUUACUGGGCGUAAAGGGUGCGUAGGUGGCUCUAUAAGUAUGGUGUGAAAUCUCCCGGCUUAACUGGGAGGGUGCGCCGUAGACUGUGGGGCUAGAGUGUGGGGAGAGGAAAGUGGAAUUCCUGGUGUAGCGGUGAAAUGCGUAGAUAUCAGGAGGAACACCUGUGGCGAAAGCGGCUCACUGGACCAAUAACUGACGCUGAUGCACGAAAGCUAGGGGAGCAAACAGG
rnacentral:rRNA from 1 species